UCUAGAUGUUCCAUGAUCGUGCACCUAAAUUAAAAUGACAACCUAAAAAGCCCCAAGUUCAUUUAGUGUUGUUCAUUUACUGUUCCUAAUGAACAGCGAAAUGACACCCUUGCCCUUAGCCCCUUGUCUUGAUUGACCAAAUUUCCAAGGUUAUUUUGGUCUUUUCGGGUUUUCCUAUUUCUCUCUCCUGCUUUUGCUCCUCUCAUUCUCACUCUCUCUAAGUCCUAAGCAUCCUCACAUCAUCUCCAACAGCUACACAACCCAGUUGAUAUUCAAUUGCCAAAUCCUUUUCCUAAUCCCAACGCCGACCACCCACCCAUGCAUAUCCUAGCAUUUUCCCCAAUUUUCCCUUCUUCGAUCAACAUUAAUUUAAACCCUAAUUUUUAAAACAAUGCGACACCCACAAAUUUCUCUCUCAAUACCACCUCCAGAUUUUGAGGACUUUCCGCCUUUCCUCCAUUGAAGCUUACUCCGAGUUUCUAAUGAAGGCUUAAAGGUACUCUGUGUUUUAUCUCUUCUCCAUUAAAGCAGCUCCUAGAGGGAUUGUGAUGGGUUUUGUGUUGAUAAAAUUGGGAUUUUGAGGGGCCGAAUGGUGGUUGCUUGAUGUCGCUGUUGCUUGGCGUUAGAUUGUGCUGGUUGCGGUUAGAAUGUGACCAUGAAGUGGCGAGGAGUAGCGGCAAGUGGUGUUUGUGGUUGUGUAUAGCAGGGGAGAUGCGAGGGUGUGCGAUUGUGUAGUAGGGGAGAUGCGCAGUGGCUGUUGUAGUGUCGGUGAUGGUGGUUAAUGGGCUGCUUAAGGUUGUUGUUGGGCGGAGGUGGAGAAUUAAUGGUGGUGCGCGAUCGGUGAGGUUUGUGGGCUGAUGUUGUUGCGGGGGAGAUGUUGUGAGAGGGCUGUUGGGAUUUUUGUGAAAGUUUUUGGGGUCUAAAGUUUGUUAAUUGUGAUGUGUUUUUAUUUUUUUAUUUUGGUAUUAUUUGUUUGAAAAUGCGUUUUGAUAAUUGAUCGUGCUUUUCCUCAAAUCGACAUUGUAUUGUUAAUAAUCUAAAGUUUUAAUCUUUAAUAUUGCAGAUAAA